UCGACCAACCAAGAAGUAAUUGCUUCACAGAAAUUCUGUCGAUGGCUAUGGCGAAAUUUGAGAAGAAUUAGUAGAUGACCGAGAAAGAAAGAAAGAUUACACAAAGUUUUGAACUGAUUCAACUCAAUACGAACUUACGUUCACUGUGCCAAAGGGAGCAACAAUACGCAUUUAUUCAAAAGGGAAAUUUUACAGAGGUUCUGAGAAUCCAAUAAUCUCCGAUCAUUUUACAAAUUUCAUUCUUGGAAUCAGUUUAUCAUGUCCGCUGCAUUUUUUUGAGUCAUACAGAGCCCACAACUUUUGGAUUUUCACGCGGAGAAUACCAAUGUAUCUCUUCUGGUGGCGUUCUAGUUUCGUUCGAGGUUCGGGGAUCUAAUUGAACUUGAUUGUGAUCAAGGUUCAUCCAGUCAUCCGUUGAGAUAGUGUUCUGAUCGUUGCAUUCAAGUUCGUGCUAUUAAACCAGUUGCUGAACGAUCAAGGGAUACUUGAAGAAAGGUUCUUCAAAGUUCACUUCGAGGAAGAAGAAAACCAAGCAUUGGUCGUAUCGUGUAGCCCAGGCUAAAUGAUCAUUUAGAUUUGGCUAAACGAUCGAGUAGAAAAGUUCUAAGGCAGCCCCGUGAUACUAUAUGCUUUAUAGAAAAUAAGGCACUCUAUCUUACAAUGCCAAGCAUGGUGCCAUAGGGCAUCACGAUGUUGUUCAAGCAAGGGCAAAAUGAUCAUUUUAAACAUUUUCUUUUCCGGUUGAUGUAUUUGAAUCAUGUUAUGGCCUAUUUUAGCUUCUUUUGUCACUAACAUUCGACUCUACCUCUUAAAUUCUCAAAACCUAUCAAAUCACCAAAUAAACACAUAAAAUUUAAGAACAAUCUUCAAUUAAGUCGUUUAAGAUAGUACAUUUUCGAUGCAAUCAUCCAUCUUGUCCUAUGUGUUGUUCUACCAAAUGUUGGACUCUCCCAAUGUAUCCUCUGUCUAGAAAUACUUUUGCUUAUAGGAUUUUUUUUGUGUGAUUAUUGUUAAGGUUUUUUUUUUCCUUCUCUGGGUGUCGACUGGUUGUGGGGUUUGUCUGACUCUUCCCUUUUUGUUGAGCAUAUAUUUGGGAUCAUAUUCUUCAUUUCAGGGUUAUCACUUUUAUAGAAGUUUGUGCCACUCUUUGUGUUUGCAGAAAAGCAAGUGUGUCAAUUUGAUCCAUUGUGUAGUGAAGGUUUUGUAGGUUUCAAAGUUGUUAUUCUUAUAAAGGGAUUCUCAUACUGCGGGAGAGUCUAAGUUUUCUAAAUGAAGAGUUUUUCAUUUAAAAUCGGGAAAGAUCGAAGUUAUUAUUAAGAGAGAGUCUCACAUUUGUUGAGAGCUUAAGUAUUCUUUCACAAAGUUAUGAUGUUUAUGUGUAGAAACUUUGAAUUUAUAGAUAAGUACAAUAUUGUAAUUGCUUAAUUAUUUAUUAG